CAUGCUGCAUUAAGUUGAAGUAAAAACACACUAAUUAGAAUUGUUUUGCAGAUGAUACUUUCUUUUGAGCUUCCAUUUUCUUUAAUUCCACUCCUUAAGUUUAGCAGCAGCAGUACCAAGAUGGGACCUCACAAGAAUUCUAUGAUUAUAAUUACUAUCUCAUGGAUACUAGGCGCUGGGAUUAUUGGUAUAAAUGUGUACUACCUCAGUACUGCUUUUGUGAAGUGGCUAAUUCAUAGUAAUCUACCAAAGGUGGCAAAUGUGUUCAUUGGGAUUAUAGUGUUUCCUCUAAUGGUAAUUUAUAUUGUCUCAGUUAUUUACCUUACCUUUAGAAAAGACACUGUUGUGACAUUUAUCGAGACGAAGAACGACACGGUAAUGGCAAGCAACGUGGAAA